AUGAAGGGAACUGUCUGUUGCAUUGUGACCUAGGCUUGUUAGGAUAAACACCCCGACGUGCUUUGGUGUAGAUGCAGGAGAUGUUUACCUUCUUGGGGUCUAGUUUUAUUUUUAGCUCAUCAAAACUCUGGUCAUGUUCUAAGGCUGGGUUUUAUGUAAUGUGAGGAUAAUAUGUUGCUUUGUGACUGAGUUUAUGCAGUUAAACGAGAUUUCUUGCACUAAAAAAUAUACUUACUGCCUAUCUGUUACCCUUGUGAUCGGUAGUUGUUUCCGUUAUCUGUGCUGUUUUCUCACGCGCUGUGGCAAUUUUCAGAAUCUCAGGAUGUUUUGCAUUGCUCCAUGGUGUAGAUGGAAUAGUUGCUUUGUUUUUGGUUGAGGCAUGACUGCAUCACUUGUUGAUUACAGAGCAGAGAGCGCUGGUGUUUAUGAGUUACAUUGGAUUUGUAUUGCUGUUGAGUUGUUAAUUACUGGAGUUUUAUAUCUCGUAUAGCUCUGGUGUUCUACUUUGCUUCGAUAAAUGAUGCCAUUUUAGCAGGCGAUUCUAAUUCUGCUGUCAGCUCCUGAUAUGUCAUGUUGAGAUCACUCCAUUGAGAUUAUGUGAAUCUUGAACUGUGUGCAAUUCGAAAUUGUAGAAAUAAUUGACUGCUUUGGGAUGGGAUUUGGGUUUGCAAUAUGUGGAGGAACAACAUAGACCUGUCUGGUUCAAACAGGCGUCAGUGAAAAAGCCUUCAGUGAACUCGUGGCGUCGACUCGUGAACUCUGAAACAGAUGAGGUGCAGGUGCACAAUAGAGACGGCUGGCCUCGCACCUGCACCAGCACCACUCCCUUAUCCGCUGGGCCUAGCAUGAAUUUGUUCGUAACCGUUUAUAUUCCUGCCAGCCUGAUCCCUGCACUAGAACUGAGAGCUUCUCAACUCAUCCGUUAAUGGAGGCCAUAGUCAGGGCAGGUGUAUCUUCCUCGGCGCCGGCGCAGCUACGCCCGUGCCCGAUGCCGUGCCGCAACCGCUGCCUACCGUCCUCCGUGCGCCGUCCCGGACGCCGGGGAGUUGCCUGCUCGGCCUCGGCGGCCGACGCCGACGUCGUCGAUCUCUUCGAUGCCGCCAAGCUCACGGUAUGGUAGUGAGAUACCUCACCGUUCGUUCGUGAGCAAGCCGUGUAUGUUCUCCAACGAAUUUUUGUUCUCUGUAGGUGGACAGGUUCGUGCAGAGCGGCAUGGUGGUCGGGCUAGGCUCCGGCCCGGCGUCCGCCCUGGCGGUCCAGUACCUCGGCACGCGCCUCCGCCGGGGAUCUCUCACCGAAAUCGUCGCAGUAACCUCGUAAGUUCUGAAUUUCUGAUUGCCAUUGCAUGAUCUGUUCCUUCUUCGUCACAGACUCAGAGUAACCUAGUAACUCUGAAUUUCUGUUUUCUGAUUGCCACUGCAUGAUCUGUUCCUUCCUUUGUGCAUGAAAGUGCUUCUUUUCUCAUCAGACACUCGAAUCAGUUUGCAUCUAAUCAGCUCUUGGGAUUGAUUGACCAGCCAGGUCCGUGCUCAGUGCGAGCGAGGCAGACAAGGCCGGAAUACGGGCUAGCAGCUAUCAGGAAGGAACCCAAGUGAGUAUGCGCAGUGCUGUACGCCUGUAACCAUCAGCUGUAAACCUCUUCUUACAACACGGGAAGAACAGCAUCUGAAACUGUGCUCUGCUCACUGACGUAUAGAUUGAUUUUGCUUUCACUGAUGCUGAAGUAAUCGAAGAGGGCACGCUGGCUGCCGUCAUCGGGCGGCGCAAGACCGAGAGUGGAGAGCCCUCUUUCAUGGUGGAGAAGGUAUUUGACUACUUAAUCAAUGUCUUCAGAGUUAGCGCGUGCAUGGAUUUCUGAUGGAUAAUCAUUCGUAUGUAGGCAACAGUAAUAGAUGCAUUGCAUAUCUGAACCAUUUAUUUGAUUUCAACCAUGUUGUCCCAUGUGUUAUACAGGCAAUGGUUAAAUCAGCUGAUAAACUUGCCUUCAUCACUGGAAAUGACAAAUACCUGACAGGUGUUGAGGGUUCCAUUCCAGUCAUAGUUAAAAGUGUAAGGAAAAAAAAAUCCUGUUGCUUCAGAUAUGGUCAGUUUUAUACAAUGUUUAUGAAGAGAGGAACAGAUGAUUUCAGGGAAAUUGGAUAGACACUGCUGAAGAGAUCGACGAUUUGUUCCUAGGGGAUGCAGAGGUGCCCUCAUCCAUACGAAUACUCAAUAGUUAAAUUUUCAGAACUCGAAUACCUGCUGGACUGCUGAAACUGAAACGCUCAUGAAUGUUUGGUCACCAUUGUAUGCGAUUUUCUGAUCAGGUUUGGAGGAGGCCAUCAUUUGGGACUGCCGGUCCACUAGGGGGUGAUCACCCAUUGGUCACUAAGGAGGGUCAUCACGUUCUUGAUGUGAUCUUUACGACUCCAAUCCCAGAUCUAGGUAAGCUGAUGGAAGAUCAUUGCAACAAAGGGGCUAAACUCAUCUUGAGUCCAUUAGACCAUUUCUUGGGCCAAAGCUUUAGCUGGUUGCUUUGCCAUAUUUAUUGCAGGUCAGGUAGCAGAGAAGUUGGACAAAGUUGCUGGCGUUGUGGAUCAUGGGAUUAUUUGUAGCAACCAGUAAUUUUCUUAACGCAAGCAUACAGAAUAAUAUUUUUAAUUAAUUUUGUGGGGAUGGUUUACGGAGGUGUGUUUCAGGUUUUCUUUUUCCCCCAAAAAGGUGCUUCUCAGUGUUCUUACACGCUGCAUCUCCUGCCCUGCAGAUCGUAUGCGGUGAUUGCAUCCAAGGGGGAAGUGCAGGUUAUUGAGGAGAAACCCUCGGUGAUACCGUAGCGCUGCAGAAAUCUUCCAGUUGCCUGCAGAGGCGCCAUUUUUCUCCACACAUUCCGGAUAAGAGUACUUCCAGGUUGGCUGGAAAAUGCCUGAGAGUUAAAUAAUAUAGUAGCACCAAAUGUAAUCUCUUCAGUAUCCAACACUCUAUGCACCAGUAUGCAAAACCUUCCACUUCGUGUGCAAUGAAGAUCAACAAAUCUGCAGUCACAGACUGUUAACAUGCCGAAAACACCAUUUUCCAUGGCAGGUUACUGAUAACUAUGCUCGUAGGUCCAAAAAAAUUAGUUGGGCAGCAAAGCAAGUAUGCUUGACAGAAUGUCGACUGACAAAUACUAGCGCUUUGCAAUUUUCAUCCAGGAUACAUAAAAUGGCAGUGUUGAACCGCAGGACUUCCUCUUCCUGGCUUCUUGUCCCACAUGUCAUAGAAACAUUUUCUUGCCAAAAAUUUUCACAAAUGUGGCUUCAAUAUUGCUAGCCAAAAUGAUUUUGGCAGCCACAAGUCGCCUAAUGUUAAGGUUAGGCACCAACCAAACAGAAAGCUCCACCUCCCAGCUCCAAUCCAAGCAGCCGUCAGAGACAUACAGUACUAAUAAAACUUUUUUAGGGAAUGCUAUUGUUUCGCCCAAAAAGCAGAAACUGCAAGCACAAGUGCACAACAUGUUCAGUUCCCCAACUAUGCCUGAACUCUAAAACACACACAGAGAGAUCAAUACAAUUUCUUGAUUCAUAUGGCUCGUUCUUUCUAAUCAUGUGACACGGCAAAGUUCUUGCCGUUAUCCCGAAUAAAAAGAUAUAAUCCAUACGGCUGACAGAUAUCUCUAAAUAAACACAACUAGCAAUCAUAUUUACGCUGCAACCUCAGCACACAAGGAACGUCUGUAAGCAACUUGAAAAGAUGUGUCAUUAUCUCCUUACUCCUGCUUUUUCUCCAACACCACCUUCCUGCUGUCGAAGAAAAACAGUUUAGAACAAUUUAGAAGACGUGCAAGUUCCGUCAAGUUUAGCUAGAGACAUUAGUAGGUUUCAUGAAUUCAGCAGACAUAUACAAAUGAAGGGCGUGGUUGUAUCACGGUACAACAACCUGAGUAGCUACAGGACAUUUGGCCUGUUCGUUUCAGCUUAUUCAGCCGGUUUAUCAGCCACCAAACAGUAUUUUCCUUUCACAACAAAUCAGUCGUUUCAGCUUUUCAGCCGGCUUAUAAGCUGAAGCGAACAGGUCCGCCUUCAGGCAGUCACAUGAAGAUGCCACUCCUUGGCGUCUCGUUGCCCGGAGGAAUCACCAUGGCGAAGAAAUUGGAAGGCAGCUCCGUGAAAGUGAAGCCAUCCGAGCGUCACUACAUAAAACGAUUUGUAGGGCACCCCAUAUUUUAUUUUUAUAAGGAUAGGCGAAAUUGCUAUCCGCAUCUACAAAACGGAUCGCUAUUGUAGCAUACGACCUACCCGUGGAGAACCAUUUGUAGGGAUGGGCCACGGGACGACCCGCCCCUGGGGGGCGAUUUCGAUUUUCAUGGGCGGGCGAUGGGGUGUCCCGUCCAUGGAAAUCACAAUUUGCAAGGGGCGAGUGACGGUAUCACCCGCUCCCGAAAAUUAUUUCCAGUAACGAGUGAUGACGUGGGCCGCUUCUAGAAAUGGUACAAUUUCUUGAUGCAUGAAUGCGCCAUGAACAUCCUUAGCAGAACACUUUGCAUGGUGCCUCAUUGCCUUCUUGAAUGUGAAUAUGGCAAGAAACAAGUUCACAAAAAUAUAAACCGUAGCUCAAAAAAUAAGUGUCAUAUAUAAACCAACAUAUAAAUCAUGUCACAACUCAACAUAACCACAACCAAAUGAUAGAUCCCACAGAACAGAUAAGACAUGUCACAUUACAUAUAAAGUUUGUAGAUCACAACUCAACAUAACCAAAUAACAAAUUCCACGCAACAGAAACAAAACCAAGAUUCAUUGACAAAUAACACUACUACACUAUCCAUUUCUUCACUUAGCAUUAGCUACUCCUAAGGCAAAUAUCCCAAGCAUAACACCUACAAUCAAGGUCACAACAGUAGUGAUGACAGCCACGUUGCAUGCACCCCCAACAGUCUUUUUUUUCUGGCCACAACAGCCUUGUUUUCUUUCCCAAAAGAUGCUUCAACUCUCCCACUUCCAACUUUAGUUUAUUAACAUUCCCUUUCAUUUCUCCACACUGGAUCUUCAAUUCACACAUCUCCAUCUUCAGAUCACAAAUUGCCAAUUUUAUUUGACUUAUCUCAUUCAACAUGCCAUUGCUUGCCAACGGCUCAGGAGGCUGAAAUCCAGCACUUGACUGAGCUGCUGCUGUUCCUGGAGCAAUACCUGCCAAUUGAUAGUUUGGAGGCAUCGAAUGGGGAAAUUUUUUCCUUCAAAUGGUUCAAGUACUGAGGCUCAAACCAGUAUUGGUCAUAUAUUCUAGAAUCUCCCUACUUCAACAACACAAAUGCAACUCAACCCUUUGGUUCCAACACGGUUGAUUCCAUGAUGUUAGGGUUGCAAUCUUACCUUAGUGUUGUUGGGGUACUUGUAGAAGAUGUAGCCCCCAUUGCUCCUGAGCCAAAUCACCCUUAUUCCGCAUUUAUGGCAGUCGACGAGGGGAAGUUGCACGAACUGGUUGCGACUUGGUACCAACGAUGGGAAGCUGCUCGACAUAACCUUCACUUGCUUGUUCUCGACGGAUGUCGAGGAGCUAGAGGACAGUGAGAAGUUCAACAACUUGCCUUGCCCCCCUUGGCCUCCUUUGCGGCAGCGGAAGCUGUGGCGGCGUGCGGCAGCGGUGGAAGCUAUGGCGGUGUGGCUGCGACGGCGAAGGUGAAAGCAUACCGGCGGCAUGCCCGCAUGGAAGGAGGUGUCGUGGGAGGAGAGCGCCACGGUGGCGGCCCGAGCGCGGAAGGAGGCGCUGCGAAUGGAAGGCGCCGUGGGAGGAGGGAAGGAGGCGCGACGCUGCGGCAUGGCGGUGGAGGCGUCGCGGGGAGGCGCUGCGGCGGCGGAGCACGCGGGGGAGGGGAGCGGCGCCGGAGCGGGGGCGGAAGGAGGGGCCGGGGAAAUUUUGACAGCCUAACGGCGUCCCGCGGGCUUCUCCAAAAAUUUGGCUUAGUAACCGUGGGCGCCACUAUAUAUAUAGGGUGGCAUUAGCAGCACCUGGAAAUCAUUUCUUCAUUUUUUUUCUAAAAUGUAUUUUGGAGCUAUUAAAUGAUCUUAAAUGCAAAAGUUAUCAACUGCAAAGUUUAAUGUCUCGUUGAGCUCCACAAUUUUGAUAUAAAGUUUUUAUUUAUCCAAGAAGAAAUGAAAAUUUCAAAAAAUACAUUCACUAAACACAUUCACAUGUACUCACACAUAUACUCAUACAUUCACAUAUACUUUGCGGUGAAUAUGUGUGUUUAGUGGAUGUAUUUUUUUAAUACAAAAUAUUUUUAAUUUCAUCUCGGAUGGAUACAAACUUUAUAUCAAAAUUAUAGAGAUCAAUGAGAUAUUAAACUUUGCAGUUGACAACUUUUGCAUUUAAGAUCAUUUAAUAGCUCCAAAAUACAUUUUAGAAGAAAAAUAAAAAUGGAGAAAAUAUUUCCAGCCAUCACCCGCACUUGGAAAUCGUUUCUAGGGGCGGGUGGUGACGUCACCCGCCCCUGCUAAAUGGUAGCCUAUAUAUGGUGGCGCUCGCGGGGACUUAGCCAAAUUUUUUCUUGAAAAAUGUAGACGUUUAACAUUUGAAAUUAGGGUUCAACAUUUCGUUCAACUUUUUUUCGAAAAAAUGUUGGUGAACAUUUUUUUAUCCAACAUUUUUCCAGUUGAAAUGUUGAAUAGACCAUCAUCAGUUGGAUCUUGGUGGCUUUGAAAUGGAUCAGUUGGAUCUGGUGGCUUUGAAAUGGAACGGAACUGCGAAGCUAAGCUUUAUAUCAUCAGCUGGACCUUGGUGACUUUGAAACGGAACGGAACUCCGAAGCUAAGCUUUAGCUCAAACGCUUAUCCAUCUUACAGCCGGUAGACUAGUAGUAACAGGGUUCUCUAAAAAAAAUAAAAGUAGUAACAGGGGGAAUGUGCUUGAUAGGUGAUAGCAGCAUAAGAUCAUCUAGAAGUUUUUUCUCCAACAGAAAAGAUAAAGAGGUGCUGCCAGAUCCUUCACCGCAGCAACCGGCGGAGGUAACAAAUGACGCAUCAGCUGAAUGACUCAUACAACAAAUAGCACAUCGACUGAAGACACAUACAACGAAUAUGAGGAUGAGAACAAGGAACCUUUGCCAGCCUCAGGAGCUCAGGAUCAGUGAAUCCCUGACCCCGAGCGCUGCUGCAACCUGAGCAAGUCCAAAUUGCAAAUUCAACAGAUCAAUUUGAUUAAAUGACCACCAAUCCACCAUAUAUCCUCCAGCAAGCUGGUCACUAGUACUGUAUCAGAAGAUGUUUACAACAACCGAACAUCCUGGGGUUUCCAGACAACACCCAUUUUCAAGUUGCAUCUCGCUAUCAGAAACUGGCCUAAUAUACUCUUUCCCCAACAUGCAUAGUGCUUUUUUUUAAUAAUUUCUUCAACGAAAGGAGGACUUAAGUACAGCAGGGGCGACAGAACAGCUAGUAAGGUAGAGUAGAACAGCCAUUGAUAGCCCCCCUGUUGAAUUUGAUGCUGAGGUUUUGUCUAAUUGAAGAAACAGCAUUGCCACCUAACUAGAGAUUUUUUUCCUCCAGCUAAAGUCAAAAGUCCAAAAUUCAUACUCUGACACCACCUCUAUUCUGAAUCGCUCUCCAGGCUUAGAGCCUUCAAGCCUCUAGCCCUCUGCAUGAUGUUUCACUCAUGUAAGUAACAAGCAUUCAACGGAACAGAGGUAGAAUACAUGCUUCUUGAAGCAAAACAAAUUUAAUUGUAUCCAGGUUACCUUUUUUGAACUCUUCUUCUCUCGAACUUCAUAUCUCUCAUGUGACAGAUCUGACAACCAAGCUCCUGGGCUCACCAUCUGUGAUUAUACCGCAAAAUGAAUCAGACAACAGUGUAAAAAAACAGAGAGCACUAUAACAGCAACAAAGAAAACAGAAGUUGAAAUCAAGUUUUUGAGCUUGAUCAUUACAAGCAAGCACUUCUGCAUCAGCUUGGGUCUUUUCUUUGGCCUCUGUGGGAGCUUGCAGCCCUUCAUUGCCAUGAAAUCCUCCUCCUUCUCCUUGUUAGACAAUGCAAUGAAGAACCUUGGCAACGCAGUGGUUCCCUUGUCCUCUGUUAAACCACCAAAAUCGAACCCAUUCCCCUCAAAAGGAAAUGGAGAACCCCUAGUGGAGUAAUACCGGUCCUUCUCUGGGGAGAGUGCCAUUGACUGCUUGUACUCGUUCGCUGGUGAAUCCGAUUUCCUGCUCACAUAGUAAGGUAUUUUGAGCACUGUACUAGGGCACCUGCUGGUAUUGCAGCGGGCAAUUCGAAUAAAGCCUGAAUACACUGAAUCUACCUGCGUUGAAGGGUGCUUGGGCGGCGUGGCGAACGAAAUGGUGCAAUGUCAGCUCCGAGAAGAGGCCGGGUUGCACGGGGCACAACACGUCUAAGAACUUCAGAUGGCGAGGGUGAUGGUGAGCCGUCAUCGCGCGUCUUGACACAGCGCAGCCGCUUCCGGCUUCCCCAUUGCAGGAAGAGGUUUGGCUCGCUGGGAGACCUCGAGGGCCUUGAGUCCUUCACCUCCUGAUCCAUCCGUACCCUGAAAGUGAACGCAGGUAGUUAGGUACCGAGUAGAAACUUAAGUCAAUGGAGCAACUUCGGAUCAAAGUUCCAGUGGAUUUUGGGAAGAGAGGAGGAUGGGCACUCAAAUCAAAGCAAAAUCUUGCCCCGAAAUUCAUCAAAAAAAAAAUCCUGCCCAACACACGAAGCAAGUGCCCCCUCUCCAUCCAAACACCUAGUGCCCUCUUAUCUUACCAUCACCAGCUAGAAUGAGAAAAGAAAUAGAACUCGAUCUUAUCUGAGCACAUCUGCUUUGCACAAGGACUCUAGAAGGGGGAACGGAGCAUGCACUAGAACUAGAAAGCGGAGAAAAAUACUUGUUUUAUUCCAAAACAAAUCUAAUCCUUCUCUUCAAAAGGUAUCCGCUAGCUGAUACAAGCAAAUCAGACGCCCCCAAGCAGGGGCAGACCCAAGGAUGGCAAUCUUUACACAAAAAAACGAAGUUUGCCGGUUGUAAUACAUUUGCAACUUCGAAUUGGGUCAGAUCCGAAUACCAAUAGCUUUGGGGCGCUCAGUUUCGCACAGCGGGAAGGGACGAGAUGGGGCGGACGUACCGGGUGGGUGCUCGUCGGCGGCGAAGAGCCCGGCGAAGACGGGGCAAAGGGCGGCGCCGCUCGCCCAGUCGGCGCCGCAAGGCCACGAGAGAGAGGACAGGAAGGGGCAGGCAGGCAGACUGAGAGAGAGAGCUGCACGGGAGGAAAACAAAAGAUUAGGGGUGAAGGCGCACGCGGCACGCCGCAGUCAGCGACGCGCUCGGGCCGUGUCGAAGUAGUUCUCGUUCGGCCCAAGAAGGUCCCGUUCGAAUAAAAAGAAGCCUGGCCAUAUUUGCCGUGUUGGUUGUUUGUAGCACUCGGCCCAACGUUGGAUUGGGGCCUGGUCCGUUCGAACAAAAGCCUGAUCUGACCUGUGUGCGUGGGGGGCAUCUUCCAGCGUGAUCAGAAAUCUAGGGAAUCCAACGAAGGAGAAAAAAAAAUCAACCUUCACAUAUCCUAUAAAAACCACCCGGAGAUCUAGAGAAUUUACAAAUCACAGGGCAACUCUACCAUAUAUCACCAAAAAAAAUCUGAAAUUUAACUUAUCACCUAGCACUGCUACCACAUCACCACGCACCUGUACAACAUCACUUAGAGAGACAUGUAAUUUAACAUAUCGCGCUACCAUAUCAACAAGCAAUGCAAAUAUAACACAUUCACGGCGCGCGACACCAAACAAUCAUGUUAGGCAAGGAUCAUAGCAAUGAAUUACUUGGGAGACAUCUCCCAAAAAAAACACUUGUGGCCUGUUCGCUUCAGCUUAUAAGCCGGCUGAAAAGCUGAAACGGCUGAUUUGUUGUGAGAGGAAAACACUGUUUGGUGGCUGAUAAGCCGGCUGAAUAAGCUGAAGUGAACAGGCCGUUAGUUUUUAAUGUUUCACAGGUGCAUUAAGACUAAAUCGCUAUUAUAGAUAGGCAAUGAUUAUAGAUUGUAGUAAUAUCAUGAACUGCAAAAGCAAAACAAGCCACAUGAGAUAUCUUUGCCAAUUUGAACAUUGUCAUUAAUAUGUCACUAACCUAAUAAGUGCACAUCCAGCAUGGUACCCUGAUUCCAAUUCAUCCUUCACAACAAAAAAGAA
rnacentral:lncRNA from 1 species